UGAGUACGAGAUGCUACGGCAUCGAAGCAGUCUAUGUCAUACUUCCAAGAAAAGCUUGCAAUGUCAUAAACAAAUAAUGCCUGUACCAUAACCGACACAGGUGGGUAGGUAGAGUAUACUAAGGGGCGCGAGAUAACUCUCUCUAAGGAACUCGGCAAAAUGACUCCGUAACUUCGGGAGAAGGAGUGCCUUAUUUUUAUAAGGUUGCAAUAACAAGAUCCAAGCAACUGUUUACCAAAAACACAGGUCUCCGCUAAGUCGUAAGACGAUGUAUGGGGGCUGACGCCUGCCCAGUGCCAGAAGGUUAAAGAAGUUGGUUAGCAUUAGCGAAGCUGAUAACUGAAGCCCUGGUGAACGGCGGCCGUAACAAUAACGGUCCUAAGGUAGCGAAAUUCCUUGUCGGGUAAGUUCCGACCCGCACGAAAGGCGUAAUGAUUUGGAUACUGUCUCGGAGAGGGGCUCGGUGAAAUAGACUUGUCUGUGAAGAUGCGGACUACCUGCACCUGGACAGAAAGACCCUAUGAAGCUUUACUGUAACUUGAGAUUGAAAUUGGACUUUAUCUGCGCAGUAUAGGUGGGAGACGUUGAAAAUAUUCUUGCGGGAAUAUUGGAGUCAUCAGUGAGAUACCACUCUUAUAAUGUUAGAUUUCUAACUUUGUAUCAUUAUCUGGUCAAAGAACAGUUUCAGGCGGGCAGUUUGACUGGGGCGGUCGCCUCCCAAACGGUAACGGAGGCGCACAAAGGUUUCCUCUGAACGUGUAGAAAUCGUAUCUAGAGUGUAAAGGCAUAAGGAAGCUUGACUGUGAGACCUACAAGUCGAGCAGGGACGAAAGUCGGUCUUAGUGAUCUGACGGUGCUGAGUGGAAAGGCCGUCACUCAACGGAUAAAAGUUACUCUAGGAUAACAGGCUGAUCUCCCCCAAGAGUUCACAUCGACGGGGAGGUUUGGCACCUCGAUGUCGGCUCAUCGCAUCCUGGGGCGGUAGUACGUCCCAAGGGUUGGGCUGUUCGCCCAUGAAAGCGGUACGCGAGCUGGGUUCAGAACGUCGUGAGACAGUUCGGUCCAUAUCCGGUGUAGGCGUUAGAAUAUUGAGAGGAGCCUUCUUUAGUACGAGAGGACCGAGAAGGAUAUACCUCUGGUGUACCAGUUAUCGUGCCAACGGUAAACGCUGGGUAGCCAUGUAUGGAGAGGAUAACCGCUGAAAGCAUCUAAGUGGGAAGCCCACCUCAAGAUAAGUAUUCUCA
rnacentral:rRNA from 1 species